rnacentral:lncRNA from 1 species
CUUUAGUUCUAGUUCCAGAAUAAGUAUAAGGGGUUUUACACGAAAUGUAGUUUUGUUCCAGAAGCCUCUGGGACCAGGGCAGAGCAGCCAGCAGGGGCUCUCCGGACGCUGCUCACCGGUCAGGGCAGAGGCACGUGGACACAAACCCACCGAACCUCGGCCCUGUAAAUGCUCUCGCCAGCAACCCACCAGCCCGCAGCUUUCCGCUCCGGAGGACCGGUUCGUUUCCGGCCAAGUUCAGAAGCUGGUGGCCGAAGAGGGUGCCGCGCGGGACCGCGGAGGAGCCAGCCGGGGUCCGGAGCAGGCGGCGGGCCCCGGCUUCCCGCCCGGCGGCGCCCGGGGAGCGGAGGCUCGCAGGCGGGGAUGGGGAUGGCCGGGGGACACGGGGGUGUGGAUGACCAUCGCGCACGGGGCAGCUGUACCCGCAAGGGUGAAGGCGGGGAAGCAGCGAUUUCUUAUAGAGGCAAGUUUGGGCAGAACGCCGUCUAGGCCAUUUUGCACGCGCGCUCCAGUCCAGCACAGCACCUGACACGCAAUGGGCCUUCACAACUGUUUGCUGCUGGAUGCAAAUACGGUAAUAGUUUCCCUUUAAGGCCAAGAAAGGGGCCCGUCCGCGGGUUGGAGGGAGGGGGGCGUCCUUCUGCCCGCGGCCCCCGCCCCCACCCACUCCCGGCCAGCUGCUGCGGCCGCCCCUCCCCCCCUGCCCCGCAGCCGCUCGGUCUGAGUAACCCGACGCCUGGGCCCGCUCCCCCGCCCGACCCAGGGCUCGGCGGCCAAUGGCCGUGGCCCGAGCCUCCGCCGGGAGCCGCGGGGGCCCUCCCGGCGCCACCCGGCCGGGCUGGGGCACCGGUUAAGAGCCGGCCUCCAGCUCCUGCUCCUGCUCUCCGUGCCCUGCGUGAGCCGCCGUCGGCCAGGCCCAGCCCAGACACGCCCGCGCCCUGCCCCGAGGCUGUGCCAGGGGACUGGGCGAUGGGUGCAGACCGGGCACUGAGAGGGCCAAGGCGGGAACUAUCCCCAGCCCGGGGAGCCAGGGCACUUGAGUUCUGGGGCGCUUGACAGGCUGAGAGACCUUGGACAGUCGCGGAAUCGUCUGUGGUUGAGAGCAGACCCUGUCCACCUUGAGUGGGGCUUGUGAGGGCCCAAGCCGGCAAAGGCCGCAAGUCCUCCUGAAUUAGCCAGUGUGUGCGUGUGCUCAGUCGCUCUGUCAAGCCGACUCUGCGACCCCAUGGACUGUAGCUCGCCAAGAUCCUUGUCCAUGGAAUUUUCCAGGCAAGAAUACUGGAGUGGGUUGCCAUUUCCUUCUUCAGGGGAUCUUCCCCACCCAGGGAUCAAACCCACAUCUCUUAAGUCUCCCGCAUUGGAAGGCGGAUUCUUUACCCCUGUGCUGCCUGGCAUUAGCCAGAGGCCAGGCGAAACCCAAGUCACUGGGACCAGUCAUCACCGGCCCUGUCUACAGCUUCUCCUCCCCACCAUCCGGGUCCCACCGCACACCAUCCUGGGAAUUCCCUAGGUUCAAGGGGAAGAGCCUGACACAACUUUCCUGAACACCUCAGUCUGGGCAGCUCCUCACUCCCAAGGCAGAGGUGGGCUGAUGGGGUUAGCAACCCCCUCCCCACUCCCUCCACCAACCCCGGAGGAAGGGAGCAGGAAAUACAUUGCUGGGCUGGAAGGGUGAGCACAGGCAGGGCACCUUUCCAACUACCUAGUUUAUCUCCAGGGCACUUACUAGAGUGGAAAAAGUAUAAAGAAGAAACUGACCAACAAUACCUUUUUCCUCCUCCAAUGGUUACAACUACACACUCCCCACAAUUUGCCGCCGUAGGCUACAAAUACUUGAGUAUUUAUCUGUGUGCACUACAGAUCCCCGUACCUUAAGAAAAGCAAAGGAGAGCUCAGGAAAUACACUGUAGUCUGAAAGAAACAGAAGAGAAGAGAUCUUUGUCAAGGAUGCAUAAUUUUAACAUUCACAGCUCUCCUACACCGGAGCAGGGUCUGGGUCGCGUAUGGUGAUGAGGACACAUCUGGGUCCCUUGAAUCUUCGGUCUAUGCCAGGUCCCAAACAGGCUCCCAAAUAGGUUCUGGAACCUGCAACCUUGACUCACACCCUUUCCCACCCCCGCACUGGACUGGCAACCUUCAGGCACCUUGCCUGGGGCUCAGGGUCACAUGCUACACGGCUCGGCUCUCUCUUCCCUGGCAGUUGGACUCCAGGGUCUGACACCCCAUCAGGUCCUCUGCCCCAGGUGAAUCCAAAGGCAGGAUGUGGCAUUUCAGGGAGCCUGAGAGGGAGUCCAAAAGCAGGGAGGGGGAGAGUGCCCCCCAGCCCAGGCCUGGUGUUCUGCAGGCUUCCUGAAAUUCAUUUGCUUCUAGACCUCUUCAGCCUUGCCAAGUUCUGUGUGAAAGAUCAGAACAGCUGGAAAUUUCUAGCGGGAGAGUGCCAGGUGCUGAAUAGGUCCCAGUCUGACUUAGAAACAGUGAGGGGCCAGGGCUGUUUGGGGUUGGCACUCUUCCCUUUGCCAGACGGGCAGGAACUGCUUGCUCUUGGAAGGCAUGCCACCCCCAAGCCUGGGCCAAAGCCGCUGUAAACCCCGGACACCAGGCUGGGGACAGAAACUAGGAGCCUCCUCCCUCCUAAGCCCCAGGAUGACGACACAAAGGGCCUCCUCUGCUGGCCAAGCAGAAGGGGAUGGGCUGACUGGGGAGGGCCGAACCGUCACCCAGUCAAAGCCAGGCAGCUGCAAAUGAAACACAGGCCUAGGAAGGCUCCGACAGGCACUCAGUCUUUCCCAGAGCCAAAAAAUCCUGGCUAGAGACUUGACUACAGAGCAAGGCAAGGCACUGGGAAAUACUUGAAACCAGGCACGACCCCUGGUACUGUUGGACUCCUGACAACAACAGGCGGAGCCAAAUGCUUUUUCCCCACCUGGCCCAGACACAAAAAUUAAGCUGCCCAGAGGGGACCCAGGGGAGGUGGCAGAGGAGCCAGGGAGGGACCCAGCAGGAAAAGGGAAGCUGGCAGUAAGGUCGUUUUUACCCUGCUCAGAGAGCAGAGCUCUCACACAGCAAGUCUGCAGAGGGGAGAGUUCCUGCUUGGCUUGACAAAAGGCCAGGUCACUCAGGCCCUCUGGAGCCUCUCGCAAGCCACUCUGGGAUGUACACGGUGGCUAGGCCACAGGGGUUACCUUCUGUUUGAAGAAGGGUAGGUGGUAGGGGUAGCUGCUGAGGGAGGCCGGCACCCCGCCCCCAACCCCAGGCUGUGACAAGCUUGACCUUCACUCUCAGGACUACCUCAGUCCUUCCAUGGCAGGCUCUGCUUGCUUUAUUUAUUUGCCAUGCCAUGCAGCUUGCAGGAUCUUAGUUUCCUGACCGGGGAUUGAACCUGGGCCCUUGUCAGUGAAAGCACCAAGUCUACCACAAGGGAAUUCCCAUCAGCCUGCUUUAAUUUUUUUUUUUCUAAGAUUUUGUUUUUUGACAUGGACCAUUAUUAAAAUCUUUAUUGAAUUUGUUAUAAUGUUGCUUCUGUUUUACAUUUUGGUCUUUUGGCCAGGAGGCUUGUGGGAUCUUAGCUCUUCAACCAGGGAUCAAGCUUGCACCCUCUGCAUCAGAAGGUGGUGUCUUAACCUUUGGACAGCCAGGGAAGUCCCCAGGCUGCCUUAUUUUAAAUGCACCUGCACGGUGGCAUAUUAUGGAUAACAUUUAUAAACCCACUAAGGAAUGUUCUUUUAUUCAUAUUUCUCCUGAUAUGUGAAAGGAGGGUUACUUUUUAAAAGUUCCAAAAUUAAACAGGAAAAGAGACAUCAUGUGUUGAGGAUGGAUUGGGAAUCUUAAUUUUCUUUAUCCUUUGCUGGAUCUUGAAAGAAAAAAAAAAAGAAUAGAAAGACACAUACCACUGCACAAGGCUUCUUUAAAAAAAAAAGCUUUCUGAAUUUAAAACUAGAGCAUGCUCUAUAAAAAGAAAUUCAGACAAAAAAUAUAAAGAGCAAAAAAUCACCUAUUAAUCCCACUACCCACUGAUAGCCCUGAUAUCAUUAUUGUGUAUUUUUCCCACACUAUUUUCUAUGCAUGCAGAUCCAUGUUUUUACAUGAGAUAUAAUUAUUAACAUCAGAGUGUCGUCUUCUUCCUGCCCCUGUCCACUGACGAACAUUCUAAACUUGCCUGUUUGGUUUCUCUUCACUUCACUCUUCCACAGAGAGGAAGAAUGAUCACUUGCUGAGAAAAGCUAAACUGAUCUACAUAAUAAAGGAAUGCAGUGAGAUGGGAUGAGGUCCA